UGGAUCAACCACCAGAUGAACAUCAAUCACCUAGUAAAAUAAAGUCUCAAUGGUAAGAACAGAAUAAAUAAAACAUACUAAACCUCAUUAUUAGCACUUCAACCAUGAAACCACUCCUUAUGAAUCCAAUCCGGAUUCAAUCAUGAAAAACUUCCGAGAUUCCCAAUUGGCAAAGAAAAACUAGUUUUAGUUGUGUUAGGCAUACCGUUCCCUUACUAGCAAAAUGCUUCUCAAGAUCCCUCUUGGUGAUCCGAGGUGACAGACCAGUCACGUACAAAUUGUUACCAGGAUUUUCCACAUCCCUUGAGGAGCUCCUGCAAAUCAAAACAAACCAUACAUGCUAAACUAUGCAUUGAGAGACUGUACUAAAGAAAUCGAUUGGACCAUGGCAAUACCUUGACCUGUCCCUGUCCCUUGAUCUCGACCUUGACACAGACAAAGACCUCGACACAGACCUCCUGCAUCGGUUGUAUGGAGAAGGAGAGCGAGAAUACCUUGACCUUCUGGAGUAUGACAUCUGACGAAUAAAUGAACAAGAAAACCAACUAGAAUGAACAAAAACUUGUAUAUUAAGUUCUAAGAGUUUACAUCAUGAAUCAAACAAGGUAGAGCCAAAAAAAAAAUGAACAGAUUUCCCCUGCAUUUGAAAAUUAAACACAGAAUUUAGAGUUGUCUUUCUACCCAAUUUGUAGAUUCAAUUAAAUCUAAACUGCAAAAUUUUAAUUCAAAAUACAAAUUUGUUUUAUUUAACAGAAUCAAUAAACUGCAAAAAAUUAUCAAUCCAAAAUAAUACCCGUAAUCAUAUAAUCAACAAGCUUUAUUUAUAAAUCGUACCCAUAAGAACCCAACCAAUAGCCAUUCAAGAUCGCUAAAAACAAAUAAAACAACCGAAAAUUAAGAAAAAUCACCGAAAAAAGAAACUUCUCCAGAUUCAAUUUCUUAACGACAAUUGUAAUUAAAAAAUUGAGAAAUCAAUCGCAGUUGAAAUUCACAAAACUUGUAGCUUACCAUAAGAAGAAAUGAGGUAGACCAGUCUCUUUGAUAUCGUUAGUUCUCACAAUGCAAAAAAAUAUUCAAAAUGGAGAAAUACACCCACACAAAAGAACAGAAAAGCAACAAAAAGA
rnacentral:misc_RNA from 1 species